rnacentral:tRNA from 1 species
GGCCGAGUGGCGGAAUGGCAGACGCGGCGGAUUCAAAAUCCGCUGUCCGAAAGGGCGUGCCGGUUCGAGUCCGGCCUCGGCUA